rnacentral:tRNA from 1 species
GGGGCUGGGGCUCAGCGGUAGAGCGCUCACCUAGCACGUGAGAGGCACGGGGUUCGAUCCUCAGCACCC